GGAGUUUGGGCCGUGUCUCAGUCCCAAUGUGGCCGUACACCCUCUCAGGCCGGCUACUGAUCGUCGCCUUGGUGGGCCGUUACCUCACCAACUAGCUAAUCAGACGCGGGUCCAUCUCACACCACCGGAGUUUUUCACACUGUACCAUGCGGUACUGUGCGCUUAUGCGGUAUUAUCAGUCGUUUCCAACUGCUAUCCCCCAGUGUGAGGCAGGUUACCCACGCGUUACUCACCCGUCCGCCACUAAGUCGUCCCAAUUGAAUCUACUUUGAGCAAGCUCUCCAUUUCAUCGGGCGGGACGCUUCGUUCGACUUGCAUGUGUUAAGCACGCCGCCAGCGUUCAUC
rnacentral:rRNA from 1 species